rnacentral:rRNA from 1 species
UCAAUAAGCGGAGGAAAAGAAACUAACAAGGAUUCCCCUAGUAACGGCGAGUGAAGAGGGAAGAGCCCAAGUUUGAAAGCUGGCGUUUGUAUUCAGGCGUCCGCAUUGUAAACUCGAGAAGUGUUAUCCGCGCCGGACCAGGUUCAAGUCCCUUGGAAUAGGGCAUCAUAGAGGGUGAAAGUCCCGUGCUUGAUCUGGAACCCCCGGGGCUUUGUGAUGCGCUCUCAAAGAGUCGAGUUGUUUGGGAAUGCAGCUCAAAAUGGGUGGUAAAUGCCAUCUAAGGCUAAAUAUCGAGGAGAGACCGAUAGCGAACAAGUACCGUGAGGGAAAGAUGAAAAGAACUUUGGAAAGAGAGUUAAACAGUACGUGAAAUUGCCGGAAGGGAAGGGUAGGAAGUCAGACAUGCCUUUGCAGAUUCAGCCUUGUCUUUGGACUUGGUGCAUUUUUGUAAUGGCAGGCCAGCGUCGGUUUGUGUCGCCGGAUAUAGGUUUAGGGAAUGUGGCUUUACCUUCGGGCAAAGUGUUAUAGGCCUUUACUGAGUACGGCGGUGUGGACCGAGGAACGCAGCGCACCCAUUAGGGCGGGCCUUCGGGCACCUUUGCGCUUAGGAUGCUGGCUUAAUGGCUUUCUGCCGCCCGUCYUGAAACACGGACCAAGGAGUCU